rnacentral:rRNA from 1 species
GAGGAAUUUUGCGCAAUAGCCGCAAGGCUGACGCAGCAACGCCGCGUGGGUGAUGAAGGCCUUCGGGUCGUAAAGCCCUGUCAGGUGGGAAGAAAGGCCUGGAGAGGAAAGGUUUCAGGUUUGACGGUACCACCAGAGGAAGCACCGGCUAACUCCGUGCCAGCAGCCGCGGUAAUACGGAGGGUGCGAGCGUUAUUCGGAAUUACUUGGCGUAAAGCGCGUGUAGGCGGGGGGAAAAGUCUGAUGUGAAAGCACUGGGCUUAACCUGGGAAGCGCAUUGGAAACUGUUUUACUGGAGUACUGGAGAGGAAGGGGG